ACAUGCCUACAUCAUAGCAUUAAUUCAUUGGAUCCCAUUAUAUCUCCGCAGUUAAGUGCACUCAGGAUAGAGUAAUACUGGGAUGGGUGACCACCUAAGAAGUCCUAGUGUUUUACAUGCA
rfam:Picea glauca, whole genome shotgun sequence.